AGUGAACGCUGGCGGUAUGCCUAACACAUGCAAGUCGAACGGCAGCACAGUAAGAUCUUGCUCUUACGGGUGGCGAGUGGCGGACGGGUGAGGCAUACAUCGGAAUCUACUUUUUCGUGGGGGAUAACGUAGGGACACUUACGCUAAUACCGCAUACGACCUACGGGUGAAAGCAGUGGAUCUUCGGACCUUUCGCGUCUGAAUGAGCCGAUGGCGGAUUAGCUAGUUGGCGGGGUAAAGGCCCACCAAGGCGACGAUCCGUAGCUGGUCUGAGAGGAUGAUCAGCCACACUGGAACUGAGACACGGUCCAGACUCCUACGGGAGGCAGCAGUAGGGAAUCUUCGACAAUGGGCGCAAGCCUGAUCCAGCCACACCGCGUGGGUGAAGAAGGCCUUCGGGUUGUAAAGCCCUUUUGUUGGGAAAGAAAAGCAGCAGGUUAAUACCCCGCUGUUCUGACGGUACCCAAAGAAUAAGCACCGGCUAACUUCGUG
rnacentral:rRNA from 1 species